rnacentral:rRNA from 1 species
UACGUAGGGGGCUAGCGUUGUCCGGAAUCAUUGGGCGUAAAGGGCGCGUAGGCGGCCCUUCAAGUCGGGGGUGAAAGCCCAGGGCUCAACCCUGGAAUUGCCUUCGAUACUGUUUGGCUAGAGACCGGAAGAGGUAAGUGGAACUGCGAGUGUAGAGGUGAAAUUCGUAGAUAUUCGCAAGAACACCAGUGGCGAAGGCGGCUGACUGGUCCGGUUCUGACGCUGAGGCGCGAAAGCGUGGGGAGCAAACAGG